GUAAUGCCGGAUGCUCCAUCACACCGCAUGGUGUGUUGGGAAAGCCUUUGCGGCAUGGGAUGGGGUCGCGUCCUAUCAGCUUGAUGGCGGGGUAACGGCCCACCAUGGCUUCGACGGGUAGCCGGCCUGAGAGGGCGACCGGCCACAUUGGGACUGAGAUACGGCCCAGACUCCUACGGGAGGCAGCAGUGGGGAAUAUUGCACAAUGGGCGCAAGCCUGAUGCAGCGACGCCGCGUGAGGGAUGGAGGCCUUCGGGUUGUAAACCUCUUUUGUUAGGGAGCAAGGCAUUUUGUGUUGAGUGUACCUUUCGAAUAAGCACCGGCUAACUACGUGCCAGCAGCCGCGGUAAUACGUAGGGUGCAAGCGUUAUCCGGAAUUAUUGGGCGUAAAGGGCUCGUAGGCGGUUCGUCGCGUCCGGUGUGAAAGUCCAUCGCUUAACGGUGGAUCCGCGCCGGGUACGGGCGGGCUUGAGUGCGGUAGGGGAGACUGGAAUUCCCGGUGUAACGGUGGAAUGUGUAGAUAUCGGGAAGAACA
rnacentral:rRNA from 1 species